GCCAGGUGCAGUAGCGCUUACCUGUAAUCCCAGUAGCUCAGGAGGCUGAGACAGGAGGAUCUCAAGUUCAAAGCCAGUCUCAGCAGGGUCUCACUGAGUUGCUUAGUGCUUCGCUAGGCCCUUAGUGCUAGUGAGGCACUAAGCAGUGAGACCCUGUCUCUA
rnacentral:sRNA from 1 species